rnacentral:rRNA from 1 species
UGGGGAAUAUUGCACAAUGGGCGCAAGCCUGAUGCAGCCAUGCCGCGUGUGUGAAGAAGGCCUUCGGGUUGUAAAGUACUUUCAGUCGGGAGGAAGGUGGUAAGGUUAAUAACCUUAUCAAUUGACGUUACCGACAGAAGAAGCACCGGCUAACUCCGUGCCAGCAGCCGCGGUAAUACGGAGGGUGCAAGCGUUAAUCGGAAUUACUGGGCGUAAAGCGCACGCAGGCGGUUGAUUGAGUCAGAUGUGAAAUCCCCGGGCUCAACCUGGGAACUGCAUCUGAUACUGGCAAGCUUGAGUCUCGUAGAGGGGGGUAGAAUUCCAGGUGUAGCGGUGAAAUGCGUAGAGAUCUGGAGGAAUACCGGUGGCGAAGGCGGCCCCCUGGACGAAGACUGACGCUCAGGUGCGAAAGCGUGGGGAGCAAACAGG